AUGAACGCUAGCGGCAGGCCUAACACAUGCAAGUCGAGGGGGAGGUUACUUUCGGGUAACUGAGACCGGCGUACGGGUGCGUAACGCGUAUACAAUCUGCCUUUCACUGGGGGAUAGCCCGAAGAAAUUUGGAUUAAUACCCCAUAGUAUAGUAAUACGGCAUCGUGAUGCUAUUAAAGCUUAGGUGGUGAAAGAUGAGUAUGCGUUCUAUUAGCUAGUUGGAGAGGUAACGGCUCCCCAAGGCGAUGAUAGAUAGGGGUUCUGAGAGGGAUGUCCCCCACACUGGUACUGAGAUACGGACCAGACUCCUACGGGAGGCAGCAGUGAGGAAUAUUGGACAAUGGUCGGAAGACUGAUCCAGCCAUGCCGCGUGCAGGAUGAAGGUCUUAUGGAUUGUAAACUGCUUUUGUAAGGGAAGAAUAAGGGCUACGCGUAGUUUGAUGACGGUACCUUACGAAUAAGCAUCGGCUAACUCCGUG
rnacentral:rRNA from 1 species